AGCUCUGCCCAUGUUGUUGUGGUUUGGCAUGGCUCGGAAUAAUGAAUCUUAUUAGCAGCUAUUGUUUCCUUUGGAAAUUACUUACUAUACAGAGCAGGUAUUAGAGAUGGAUUCGGUGUAAUAACUAUAUGUGCAUGCUAGAUGUCACUCUACAAGAUCCAAAAUAUGAAGAGAUAUGGAUUGUGUGUGUACACAUCAAAUACACUGCAAUAUAAUGUUAUGUGUUUUAAAAUCUGUCUGCUAGUCUGUCAGCCUUCUCUUCCUGAAGAACUUUGUGUGAGAGAGGUACUAUCAGAAGCAGAGAGGAAAGGGGAAACUGUUGCUUCUGUCAUGAGAACAUCCCUUGAAUGUCCUAGGAACUGCAGCAGGGAAACACAAAGGAAGGCUGAGUAUACAGGUCUGCAUGCUUUUGUACCAAGUGUGGACACUUCCCCUAUGCCCACAAAUAUUUACAAGAGUAGAUGCUCCUAGUAAAGAUUAGAAUUAAAAUUUAAUUAAAAUAUGAUAAAGUGAAAACUAUAUAACUGGGUAGCAGGGGCAGCAGUGCAGGGUAUGAGCUGUGUCAGGCCUGAUUGAUUCUUGCUGGUGGUCAGAUCCUGUGCAGACGCUGCUGCACAGAACUUGGCAAAAUUAUGUGUUAUGAGAGGGUUGCAGUCAGAGAGUAGUAGGCAGAUGUAGAACUGGCUUGUGCAGCCUGUCAACCUUGUAAGUAGUGGGAGCAUGAGGGUCCUGCAGAUGUCUCUAUAAAAUAGGCAGUGUAGGAGGAUGUGCUUGGUGGUUUCAACUUGCUCAGCAUCGCAGGGGCACAGACAUUCUGGGAAGGGAAUCUUCUUGUAUCUUCCAUCUAACACAGCCGAAGGGAGGCGUGCAACAGGCUAGAGUGAAGGCUCUUCUGUGGUUAUGGGCCUUGAGCUGCAUUACAUAGACAGCAGGUGCCACUAUGUACUUUAGGCUUUCAGUGAUAGGGAGGUUUGGGGGAUUUAGGUCAGAUUGGCACUCUGUGUCCAUUAUGCAUGGUUUAAGAAGUGUCCUGGCCUGCUCAUAACCCAGGGAAAGUAGUUGGUUUGGAGGAGAGCCCAAGUUAUGUUAGUUUCUCCAUAUAUGUAGUAACCUCGUUUUGUCCAGCAGAAUUUUAAGAUGACAGCAGCACGCCUCUGUGCAUUUGGGGUAACAUAGUUGCCAUGGCUAUUCCUGGUGCCGGAUGUGUGAAAGACUCCCCCGCCCCAGUUUGGCUUGCAAGAUGGAGUCGAAUGCAGACUUGAGGUCUAUGAAGGCAGAGUACAGAGAGACUGUGUUGUGAGUGGAAUAUUUCUCAAUUAGGUUUUGGAGUACUAGGCAUUGGUCAAUGGUGGAUUGUCCCUCCCUGAAUCCGGACAGUCUCUUAGUUUCCAAUACAGGUGUCUGCAGUAGAGCUUGCUGAAAUUGCUGAGCAGGCUGAAGGUUCUAUAAUUUCCUGGGUCAUCCCUCCUACCUUUUUGAAGAUGGGAACAAUAAUUGCUAACCCCCAGUCCCUAGGGAUGUGUCCGUGCUUAUCAAUAAAAGUAAAUAGUGAUGCCAGAAUGGGAGCUCACCAUGCUGAGUUAUUUUUUAUUAGCACAGAGGGGAUUAGAUUGUCAACAGGAGCCUUCCCAGGUCUUAGAUGAGAGAUCAGAUCCCUGAUCUCUACAAGCGUCACUGUCGGCCAGGAAGGCUGGUCAUCUAUGUCACGGUUUCUCAACCACCGGCCCCUGGACCGCUGCCGGUCCACCGAGGGUUGAGUGCCAGUCCAUGCCUUCUAUCCACCCGCCCCCCAGCAACACUUUCUCUCCCCGCCGGGCUCCCUCCCUCCCCGCCAUUUUUGCCCACCCGCUUCCUCUACCAGGGCCCGCCGCUGCCACAUGGCCCAGGAGAUGGCUGUGGGGUGUGUGUGAGCAUUCUACCCACCCCCCGGCGGCAGCUGAUACAAGAGCGAUGCCGUGGCCUGCUGUCUAGCCUGGCAUCGCUUCCCAAUUACGAGGUGCGCUUGCGUGCCCGGGGUCGUGCACCCUGCCCCAGCCUGGCGCGCCCCCAACAAACCCAGGUAGCACACCCAUGUUUCCCAAAAAAGGUCCACCGCUGGCGGCAGGGGCUGGUCGACGGGUGACCCUAUGGCCAGCUGGGCUCAGCAGUGCUGAUGCAAGCUGCUGACCGAGGGCAGGCAGCGUCCCAGUCUGGCAUGGUGAGGCUCCAGCGCAGGCACCGGCGGCGGGGUCCAAUCCAUUGUGCAUGACCAACAGCCAAUGCAGCCCACCGAGCGAGCCACCUUCCCACUGGCUGCCUGCCCAGCAGGAGAGCGGGGAGAUCCGGCGAGGGGCCGGCCAAGCCAAGUGCCCUCCUCCGCCUCUGAGCUUGGGGAACCCCCCACCUCGGCACCUCCUCACCAGCCACUUCUCUCCCCCGAUGCCAAUUGCCUGGCUCUGUAGCAACCUGGCAGCAGGCAGGCAGACAUUCAGCAGAUGAACACACACACACACACACACCCCUUUUCUUUACUUCUACGCCAGGAAAAGCUUCCCCUCCUGGUGAUCACCAUUCCCCUGGUGAUGCUUGCUAUGCCGCUUAUUCCCACCACCCAUACCCAUUGGGGGCUAGAUUUCUGCCCAUGCAAUUGUGGAAAUGGACAUUGGACCCAACCCCCCCCCCAAUUACCUGAUGUGCCUUGAAAUCUUUUCCCAUGAGUUACAGUACUGUGUGCAUAUACUUUAUAACCCUGUGGGUUACCAAACCCUUGUGUGUGAAACUCUGGGCCUCCAGAACUGCCGGAGAACAGGGACCCCUGGAACAACGGGGAACGGACUAGGGCAGAAGGCAGGGGGAAGCAACGGGGAGAGAAAGCUCUGGGAAGGAAAGCUUUGAGGAAUUCUCAUCAAUUAUUCUUGUAAACAGCAGAGAUAGAGCAAAGAGUACUUCAAAUGAAUGCCUGACAAUGCAAAUGACAUUGAUAUGAAUGAUUCAGUUUCUUGGAUUAAUAUAAUUUUUUUCUUGACACUAGUGCUAGCCUCAGACCAGCACCUGUAGUGUGAAACCCACUUUCUGUGUAAUACAAAGAGGAGGGAUGCUUGAAAAACUACUUUUGUAAGUCUUUGCAUGGUGUUGGCUUUCCCAUGUGGCACCUAUGGCUUUUCACAUGUGGCACCUAUGGCUGGAAGCCAGUGCAUGUGCAGUGGAUACCAUGCCAGAGAGGUCCUUAGGAUCACAGCCUAAGAAAUCCCAUACUACCAUUUUUAAAAAGGCACUUUCAGUAGGAGUAAACCCUCCUGUUUAAAUGACAAUGCAUUUUAUUGUUAUGUAUUUUGUACAGAUUUUAUUGUAUUUAUUCUAUUAGCAUUUUUAAUUCAAUUCAUUUUAUUUUAUUUUUAUUUUAUUUACAGCAAUGUAGCGGUCCUUGAAACUCCACACGAAGAAUUUAGCAGUCCUUGACUCCAAAAAGGUUGAGAAACACUGCUCUAUGUCAUGCCGAAGACAUCUAUGGUCCCCUACUUCACAGCUCACUGUUAGUUAGAUUUAUAUGUCACCCUACUCCCAUAGGACUCAAGGCGGCAUUGGUGGAAUGCAGCUGUCCAGAUGUGUCAGGCCAUUGCUAGGGUGAUGCGCGAUGAUGCGCAAGAAUAGGGCUGGGUCAUUGGUUCUGACUGCUUGGAUGAGAUGUGACCAGGUGUGAGUUCAGUAUGGGGUGAUUCUAAUACAUAUGACUCCGGAGCACCACCAGGAGAUACACGUGGCAACUGCAGCUCUUGAGACAGAAUGGGUGAUAUAGGAGCCCCUUUCUUUGGAGGUGCUGUAUCUGUGAUUCAGGGCAGCUUACACAGAAAUAAAUUAAAAAAGAUGGAAUCCUGUCCCCAAAGGGCUCACAAUCUAAAAAGAAACAUAAGGCAGAUACUAGCAACAGUCACUGGAGGUACUGUGCUGGGGGUGGAUAGAGCCAGUUACUCUCCCCCUGCUAAAUAAAGAGAAUCACCACAUUAAAAGGUGCCUCUUUGCCAGGUUAGCAGGGGUUGUAGCAAUGAUGUUGAUGAUGGGCAUGCUCCCCCAUUACUUAGACCCUUGGGUCUAGCAUGUGGCGACUGCAGCUCUUGAGGUGUUGCAGGUUGGGUAGGCUCCCCUUCCUUUAGAGUUGCUAUCUCUGUGUGGUCUUCUUGGGGCUCUUCAGCAUCAGAAGGAAGCAUGCAUAGAGGUUGUAGUCAGAGGCACUCUUACCCCUUCUAGGUAAGAAGAGGGCCUCCACACCCUCUGGGGACCCCCAAAUCCUCUUUAGUCUGUCCCAGGUGGUGUGGCCACAUUAAAAAAUGUGUUUAAAAUACUGUAUUAAAAAUACUGCGUGUGCCACGGUGUGUGUGUGUAGGGUGAUUAUGCUUAAUGGGGGGUGGGGCUCCAAAGGCCUUUAGGUCCAGGCUCCAAAAUUACCUAGCUGCACCUUUGGUUGUAGUCUUGGUGCUUGGCUUGGUUAGGUCACUGGUGGUUGUGCUAUUGAGUCCUUCUGGUGUGGUCUGCAGGGGAUAAGUAUCCAUUACAUUAUCACUGUCUGUGAGUUCAGAAUUUGAUCAGGAGAAGAGUGUUGUCAGUGACUGUGUUUGGGCUUGAACAGCCAUGAGUGGCUUUUUCAGUUCUACAAAAUCUAAAUCUAUCUGAAAAUCUUCUAUGACUUUCACUCUCUCCCGGCCAUAUAGAGUUAGUCUGCUCAGUCUGUUUGAGUUCAGCAAAGUUUGCAAGCUGUUUAUUGAAGUCUAAGCUUGUUCCCCUGGACGUUUUUCACACCCAGCUUUUAAUUCGCAUCUCUUCUGGUAUUGAGGUGUGCAUUCACAUAUCACCAAAUUUACUCCAAAGACCCUGAGAUCUAUCAGAGAGCCCUUCACACAAUUUGGGAGUUUUGUUGCACAUUAGAGUGUAGCCUGAUUUAUAUCCGGGGUUUUAAAAACCCACUUUUUGAGUCAGUUUUGGGGGGCAACUUCGAACUCAUAAUAAAGUCUCGCAGAAAACCCACAGCAAAGCCUGCUGUCAGGGAACGGUCCUGGAGGUUUUUCACACAUGACGUUUAGCCCACAUCCCCUCCUGAAUGGAAGCUGCAAGUCCACAUAUCAGCUGGAUUAGCCCCAAAGUCCCUGCGAGCUAUCAGGGACCAGUACACAACUGACUCUGCUUUUCCCCAAAGUAUUGUUAAAAAUUACUGCGCAUUCUAGCUUGGCCCAAAUUAUGUUUUGCAUUAAAAAAUCCUCUAUUUGUGACAACUUUUCUUUGAAAACCCGAGCUUUCUUGAAUGCCGCAGGACUUCUCCUUUGAUGUGUAGAUUGGCCAUUGGCGGUAAUUUGCAUUAUGGUCUGCUCUGAGUGAUUUGCAGUUGCAAGUGCUGGGGGGGGAGGGGUUGUGGCAGAUUGGUUCUGCCACUCUAUUCUUCCAUAACCAGCUGUCAAGCUCUCUCACCUCCUCCUCUGUCUCUGAUAUGAUUGGAGUAUCUGCUGAUACUCCUCAUAGCCUCCCCCUGCCUUGGAGGGUCAGCAAGUUGCCUGCCCGCAUUUCUGGUCUGCUGUUGGGAGCAAGACCAGCCCUGCUGUCACUGUGUGACCCCUUUCCCUGCUCACCCUUGUGGAGCGGGGCAAUGCCUUUGAAGCAAAGCACCUCUGGGCUGUGAAGACCUCCCUGUGUCCCACCCGCCUGCUUGCCUUCCUUCCUCACUCUCACCCGUGGUGUGUGCCUGUUUUGUUUUUCUGGCUGCCUGCUGUGUCAGAUCAUGGGCUGGGGAGUGGUGGCAGAAGCAGUGACAAAAAUCACUGCUGGGGCACAUGAACCAGGAGGAUGCUGGGGAUUGACUCCCUGCACCAAGCAAGAAGCGCAGGGAUGCAGCUACAGUAGCAGCAGGGGGGGCAAGUUGAAGCAGAGAAGCUUCUGCAGCCAUACUCCCUCACUGCUGGGGGUCCCGGUCAUGCCCUCCCUUCCAGGCAACCCCCUCCCCAUCCAUGCCAUCACCCCCCACCAACACCCCCGCCUUGCCUACCUGGCCAGAGAGACUCUAGGAGUGCCACCGACUUCUCCCAACAUCACCCACUUCAGCCCAGUCAUGUGAGGGAUGGAGAAAAAAACCCAGAGCAAUCAGUGAGAAUGCACAAAGGAGAAAGAUCACGGAGUGAAGAGGGGAGCCGAUGGCUAUGUGAACUGUCCAUCUAAUUCCCCAAAUUAAACUGCCUCGAAACAGCUGCAAAGUAGAUUCACUCCUCAAAUACCCCGAGACAAAAAGCCAUGUGUGAAAAACCUCCUGGAGACAUUAUUUGGAAACAAAUGCAGGCGAGUCAUAUCCAAGAGAGGGAGUGCAGCUUAUGAGACUAGCUGUUCAUUGGAGGCUGAAGUGCAGUGAGCAAAGAAGACCUAAGGUGAAUCUGGCACCGGUGCUUCAAACUGUGCUCAGCAACUGACCAGUGGAACUCUUAAGCACCAAUAGGAUGUGUUCCCAACAACCAGUCCCAGUUAGUAGUUUAUUGGCUGCAUUUUAACAAAUGGUGGUUACUACUAUUGCAGAAGACAACACUGGAGAUUACCAGAACAUGGAUGAUGGUGACCACACACAUACUUUCUAAGAGAGGCCACAGCUGGCACACCAGCCUCAGCUGAUGGAAGACACUCUGUGCCAUAGAACCCAUUUGGGUCUCUAGUGACAAGCAGGCUAAUUUUUGGCUAGAUUGUGUGCCCUGUGUUUGCAUGGGUGGACAAUCUAGAAUAAUCUUUUUGCUUUGGUGUUGUUGUUUUUUAAACGUCUCUUAUCAGUCAUUGUUCCACACCAGAGGUCAGCCCAAUUAAAAUUUUUCCACAUGCAAAUUAGCUUUUAACAGUUUUCUGUUGAAUAACACUACACAAUACUAAUUCUAAUUUGCUUCCUCAGCUGAACAAUGUACAAAUAAAACUGCAUAUAAUUGACAUUUUCCCUGACUGCAUAAUACAUUUUUAUUUUGUUCUGUUCGUUCAUUUGCAUCCAUCUCCUCCCUACCCUUGAAGUAGCUUUAAAUAACAAAUAAAAUAGUUUUUAAAACCA